AUUGGUUGAAAUAGGUGUCAAUCACUUUUGUGACGCUGGAGAAAGGCUAUGACCUGAUUUGAUUGGACAGCCCUGAACACCAGCGUGACCCAGCGCUCACGCUAUUGGUUCAAAAGACGAUCACUCAAGAAAAAUAGUGGUUUGUGGACCAAUAAAAACCACAGAAUCUAGAAGAGGACAACUAAACGCGUGUUUGUGAGGAGGAGUGAGCAGGCGAAUAAAGGACUAUUUUUUCUGCGGUUCAGUGCUGUAUUGUGGAUGCUGUGAUAAGUUUCAGAAAAAAGUCUUGGCCAAAUUGGUGGAUAUCCACUUAGAGGUCAGAAGGGUGGGAAGAAGUGAGCCUACUCUUUCAUCUGCCAAUAUAAAGCAGCUGGAGACAAUGGAGGAGUUUGAGAGGGAGGAGGAAUGCCUCAAGGACAAGCCAACCUUUGAAUACCUGGUGUUACAACUUGCAAGAAUUGGUGGGAAAGAUGUAAGAGACUGUGUCCACAAAAUUCUUGACAGGCUCUUCACCAACCAGUUGAUGGCAAAGUUCAAUAUGAAGGGGAAAGGGAAGAAGCAUAAACUGCCUCUGGAGACAACAAACAUAUAAAGCAAUAAGAGCGGCAGUCAUGAAGUGGGAUAAAGAAGCUACAGAGGCUGCAAUAAAGCAUCAUGCAGCAGACCAUCUUAAACAUGCACCUGGGAGGAAGGGAGGAGGAGGACAUGUUUGUUUUUAGUUCAUUUAAAGUUCCAUGGGACUCUGUUCUGUCAUUUAAAAACAAGGUGUUGGUGUUUACAUUUUGAUACAUAAAUGCAAAUAUUGUUUUCCUAAACCUCAUUAAAGAUAUUUCUCAUUUUAUAAAA